UGUCAUUCCUGAGAAGAUAUACCGCUCCAGGUAGGACCUACAGAGCCCCGCCGGACGGGAGCCAGGGGCCAAGUCGCCGCUCCUCCUUUUCUCCGGCAAUCGCCGGCGACGGCCCGCUCCGAUCCGCGUCCGGGAAUCGUAGCGCUGCGCCUGGCCUUCCUCUUUCCCGUGUCCCUCGUGUGGAAGAUCGCAAGGAGCGAGUGAGGGCGCCGGUUCGAGCAACUGCUUCUGAACCUUAGCACCUGCAUUCGCACACCAUCCACUCGCCUCGAGCAAAUGCUUCCGAUCGAGGCAAACCAUGAUCGAGGAAUUUUCACCAGACAAGCUCACGGUGGCGGAUGACUGAAAGCAGGAAGCUCCGAUCGAGGCGACCUGCAGGUGUUCGGCGAAUUUCCCCAGCAGGGAGAUUUCCCCGCCGAUGGAUUCAAUUCUACAGGUGGGCACACAGAUGAUGAAUCACACCGGAUGAUUUAUUUGGCUGUUCUGCCUCUCAUGGAGACGACGACUGUUCUGCCUCUCAUGGAGACGACGGCUGAUCUGCCUCUCAGGGCGACGAUGGCGACGAUGGGAAAGGAAUGAUAGUGUCAUAUGGAUUGCAAAGUAGCCCAGCACCGCAAAGCCAGUGCGGUAGCAGCAUGAUGAUGACAACGAUGGAAGCAACAAACGAAAUGGAGUUGCUGUAGAAGAAGGCAAGGUACCGGCCCCUCAUAUUGUCAUGCAUCACCGGAUUGCCCGCCUCGUACCCGUUGCCGCUGCUCUGCCACGUCCCACCAGGCGGUUCCAGGCCGGCCUGGUACGCUACGCUCGCCACCAAGAUGCCUAGCAGCAUCAGCUGCUGGAUUGCCAUUUCUGUUCAGCUCCCUCACCAAAAAUACUAGCAGCAGCCCAGCUGAAAAGAAGAUGACCACGGCCACCAACACGAAGAUGUAGAUGGAUGUCUUGAGGUGCUGCGUACUUCCGGCGGCAUAGGCCCCCAUCAA